UGAAUUGUGCUUUCUGGAGACUAAGUCAUCUGUUUAUCCCCAGAACAGAUACAGCACAGGGAUUUGCAGUGCACACCCACCCCAAAGCCCUUUGCCAGUGUGACUCAGCCUUGACCUGGAGCAAUCACUCCGGGUGUGAGAAGGUAGCUCAGUCUCCUUGGCCUCUUUCCUGAGCUUGCCAAU
rnacentral:sRNA from 1 species